rnacentral:rRNA from 1 species
AUUGAACGCUGGCGGCAUGCCUUACACAUGCAAGUCGAACGGCAGCGCGGACUUCGGUCUGGCGGCGAGUGGCGAACGGGUGAGUAAUACAUCGGAACGUACCCUGUUGUGGGGGAUAACUAGUCGAAAGAUUAGCUAAUACCGCAUACGACCUGAGGGUGAAAGUGGGGGACCGCAAGGCCUCACGCAGCAGGAGCGGCCGAUGUCUGAUUAGCUAGUUGGUGGGGUAAAGGCCGACCAAGGCGACGAUCAGUAGCUAGUCUGAGAGGACGAUCAGCCACACUGGGGCUGGGACACGGCCCAGAGUCCUACGGGAGGCAGCAGUGGGGAAUGUUGGACAAUGGGGGCAACCCUGAUACAGCAAUGCCGCGUGUGUGAAGAAGGCCUUCGGGUUGUAAAGCACGUUUGUCCGGAAAGAAAUCGCGCUGGUUAAUACCUGGCGUGGAUGACGGUACCGGAAGAAUAAGCACCGGCUAACUACGUG